rnacentral:rRNA from 1 species
UGAGUGCUCUCACCACGUAAGUGGGUAAGGUCACGGGAAGAACACCCGUUCUUAGGCGGUAGGUGGAAGUGCAGUAAUGUAUGUAGCCGAGCCGUGCUAACAGACCGAGGGCUUGACCUC